rnacentral:rRNA from 1 species
UACGUAGGGGGCUAGCGUUAUCCGGAAUUACUGGGCGCAAAGGGUGCGUAGGUGGUUUCUUAAGUCAGAGGUGAAAGGCUACGGCUCAACCGUAGUAAGCCUUUGAAACUGGGAAACUUGAGUGCAGGAGAGGAGAGUGGAAUUCCUAGUGUAGCGGUGAAAUGCGUAGAUAUUAGGAGGAACACCAGUUGCGAAGGCGGCUCUCUGGACUGUAACUGACACUGAGGCACGAAAGCGUGGGGAGCAAACAGGAUUAGAUACCCUGGUAGUCCCUGA